GUCACAGGGCUCCAGUGUCAGCAGUGCGAAGUCAACUUCUUUGGUUUCAGUUCCUCUGGAUGCAAACCAUGUGACUGCGAUCCUGAGGGCUCCCUCUCGGGCCAGUGUAAGGAGGAUGGCCGCUGUGAGUGUAAGCCUGGAUUUGUCGGUGCCCGAUGUGACAUGUGUGAAGAGAAUUACUUCUACAACCGCUCUGCACCUGGCUGUCAGCAGUGUCCAUCCUGCUACAGCCUUGUCCGUGACAAAGUGAACCAGCAGCGGCAGAAGCUUCAUGAUCUCCAGACGCUCAUUGACAACCUAAGCUCGGGUCAGGAGACAGUGAGUGACAAGGCCUUUGAAGAGCGUCUCAGAGAGGCUGAACGGGC